CCUCUGGGAUUUGUUAUGAUUGGUGCCGUUGUUUAAUGCAUAUUAUGUAGCUGCUUCCAUGACUUAUUGUGUGUUAGUAUUGGCCCUUACUAUCACUGCUAUGUGCUUGUAUUUUCUCCAGUGCAGCAGUUUGUGUCAUCAGCAUCGUGGACUUAGUAAUUUAGUUUCGGUUAUCUUUUUCAAAUGCCUGCUUAAGCAAAGGGUGGCAGUUGGUAUAUAAUUUACAUACAUUUUUUGCAGAGGGGAGAAGCUGCUGCUUCAAAUGACUGGUUAUGGUA
rnacentral:lncRNA from 1 species